rnacentral:rRNA from 3 species
CUUGACACUGAACAUUGAGCCUUGAUGUGUAGGAUAGGUGGGAGGCUUUGAAGCGUGGACGCCAGUCUGCGUGGAGCCGACCUUGAAAUACCACCCUUUAAUGUUUGAUGUUCUAACGUGGACCCGUAAUCCGGGUUGCGGACAGUGUCUGGUGGGUAGUUUGACUGGGGCGGUCUCCUCCUAAAGAGUAACGGAGGAGCACGAAGGUUGGCUAAUCCUGGUCGGACAUCAGGAGGUUAGUGCAAUGGCAUAAGC